GGCAAUAGAAUGGAUCAAUGUGAGCAAACCAACAAGGAUGACGAGGAAAGAUCAAGUAAAAAUAAGUGAAUAAGAUCAAACUAAAAUUAUACAAGUGAGGCACUAAGGCAAAUUAAAAUCAAAGGUGAAAUGUAAUCAAAAGGCAAACAGCAAGUAAACUAGAAAACUAAACAAGGAUUUUUUCUUGUGCUUAUUAAACAACAAGUUGUGUUACAAUCGAUUUGAGUUAGAAGCAUAUUGGAGGCAUUACAUACUUUACAAGUUUUGAUUGAAAAUGUGAAAGUAGUGACAAUAAGAGCUACAAAUAGAAUACAAUGAUGAAGAAUCUGACAACAAGGAAUUUGAGUGAUACUAUAGAAGACAUCCAAAAGUGUGAUUAAAGAAUGGUGGAAUUUGUAAGAGAACUAUGAUUAAAAAAGAAGAAGUAAAAAAUAUGAUGUGUAGGAUUUUAAUUGUUUGCAAAAGAACUAGACUGAAGAGAUUAUCAAUAAGAACAACAUUUCAUCAAUAUAAAAGUUUGAUAAGUAGACA
rnacentral:lncRNA from 1 species